GACGAACGCUGGCGGCGUGCUUAACACAUGCAAGUCGAACGGAAAGGCCUUGCUUGCAGGGUACUCGAGUGGCGAACGGGUGAGUAACACGUGGGUGAUCUGCCCUGCACUUCGGGAUAAGCCUGGGAAACUGGGUCUAAUACCGGAUAGGAGCCAUUUUUAGUGUGAUGGUUGGAAAGUUUUUUCGGUGUAGGAUGAGCUCGCGGCCUAUCAGCUUGUUGGUGGGGUAAUGGCCUACCAAGGCGGCGACGGGUAGCCGGCCUGAGAGGGUGGACGGCCACAUUGGGACUGAGAUACGGCCCAGACUCCUACGGGAGGCAGCAGUGGGGAAUAUUGCACAAUGGGCGCAAGCCUGAUGCAGCGACGCCGCGUGGGGGAUGACGGCCUUCGGGUUGUAAACUCCUUUCGCUAGGGACGAAGCUUUUUGUGACGGUACCUAGAUAAGAAGCACCGGCUAACUACGUG
rnacentral:rRNA from 1 species